rnacentral:rRNA from 1 species
UACGGAGGAUCCGAGCGUUAUCCGGAUUUAUUGGGUUUAAAGGGUGCGCAGGCGGGAGAUUAAGUCGGCGGUGAAAUUUUGCAGCUUAACUGUAAAAGUGCCUUCGAAACUGGUUUCCUUGAGUGUAGAUGAAGUAGGCGGAAUUUGUGGUGUAGCGGUGAAAUGCAUAGAUAUCACGAGGAACUCCGAUUGCGCAGGCAGCUUACUAAACUACUACUGACGCUCAGGCACGAAGGCGUGGGGAUCAAACAGGAUUAGAUACCCCGGUAGUCCCUGA